rnacentral:piRNA from 1 species
UGCUGCAGCUCUACUCUGGACACCUGC